rnacentral:rRNA from 1 species
GACGAACGCUGGCGGCGUGCUUAACACAUGCAAGUCGAACGGAAAGGCCUUUUCGGAGGUACUCGAGUGGCGAACGGGUGAGUAACACGUGGGUGAGCUGCCCUGCACUCUGGGAGAAGACUGGGAAACUGGGUCGAAUACCGGAUAGGACGGCACUUGAGUGAGUGUGGUGGAAAGUUUUGUCGGUGUAUGUUGAGCCCGCGGCCUAUCAGCUUGUUGGUGGGGGAAUGGCCUGCCAAGGCGGCGACGGGUAGCCGGACUGAGAGGUUGGGCGGCCACCUUGACACUGAGGUACGGCAGCGACUCGUACGGGUGGCAGCAGUGCGGAAUCUUGCACAAUCAGCGCAACCCUGAUGCAGCGACGCCGCGUGGGGGAUGACGCUCUUCGCGUUGUAAACUCCUUUCGCCAGGGACGAAGCGUUUUGUGACGGUACCUGGAGAAGAAGCACCGGCUAACUACGUG